rnacentral:rRNA from 1 species
AUUGAACGCUGGCGGCAUGCCUUACACAUGCAAGUCGAACGGUAACAGGCCUUCGGAUGCUGACGAGUGGCGAACGGGUGAGUAAUACAUCGGAACGUGCCUAGUAGUGGGGGAUAACUACUCGAAAGAGUGGCUAAUACCGCAUGAGAUCUACGGAUGAAAGCAGGGGAUCGCAAGACCUUGUGCUACUAGAGCGGCCGAUGGCAGAUUAGGUAGUUGGUGGGAUAAAAGCUUACCAAGCCGACGAUCUGUAGGUGGUCUGAGAGGACGAUCAGACACACGGGGGCUGAGAAACGGCCCAGACUCCUACGGGAGGCAGCAGUGGGGAAUUUUGGACAAUGGGCGCAAGCCUGAUCCAGCAAUGCCGCGUGCAGGAUGAAGGCCUUCGGGUUGUAAACUGCUUUUGUACGGAACGAAAAGCCCCGGGUUAAUACCCUGGGGUCAUGACGGUACCGUAAGAAUAAGCACCGGCUAACUACGUGCCAGCCGCCGCAGUAA